AAUUAGAAAGCGAAAUAUCGCACUUAGUUUCGGCCUAGGCUUUGGUUUUUUUACCUCUAAUUU
rnacentral:tRNA from 1 species